rnacentral:ribozyme from 1 species
AUAGUCAUACACCAGAAUCUUUGCAUUUGUUCCAGAACUUUGACGAAUAGAUACUAUUGACUGGUGUUGACAAUUAUGAAAAGUAGUGGCACUGCCAAAUAAAUUGUCAACAAUUUUA